rnacentral:tRNA from 4 species
UGGGGGAUGGUGUAAUGGUAGCACAACAGGCUCUGGACCUGUUUGUCUAGGUUCGAAUCCUAGUCCCCCAG